rnacentral:tRNA from 1 species
GCACUAGUAGCUCAGACCCAGAGCAUCGGUCUUGUAAGCCGAAUGUCGGGAGUUAAAUUCUCUCCUACUGCU